UCCGCCAGGAGCAUCGCUGGGUAGCUAUGUGUGGCAGGGAUAAACGCUGAAAGCAUCUAAGCGUGAAGCCCCCCUCAAGAUGAGAUUUCCCAUUUCUUCGGAAAGUAAGAUCCCUGAAAGAUGAUCAGGUAGAUAGGUUUGGAGUGGAAGUGUAGCGAUACAUGGAGCGGACAAAUACUAAUCGAUCGAGGACUUAACCAA
rnacentral:rRNA from 1 species